CCUUGACAUACUAAGAACUUUCCAGAGAUGGAUUGGGUGCCUUCGGGAACUUAGAUACAGGUGCUGCAUGGCUGUCGUCAGCUCGUGUCGUGAGAUGUUGGGUUAAGUCCCGNAACGAGCGCAACCCUUUUCCUUAUUUGCCAGCGGGUCAUGCCGGGAACUUUAAGGAUACUGCCAGUGACAAACUGGAGGAAGGCGGGGACGACGUCAAGUCAUCAUGGCCCUUACGGCCAGGGCUACACACGUGCUACAAUGGUCGGUACAAAGGGUUGCUACCUCGCGAGAGGAUGCUAAUCUCAAAAAGCCGAUCGUAGUCCGGAUCGCAGUCUGCAACUCGACUGCGUGAAGUCGGAAUCGCUAGUAAUCGCGGAUCAGAAUGCCGCGGUGAAUACGUUCCCGGGCCUUGUACACACCGCCCGUCACACCAUGGGAGUUUGUUGCACCAGAAGUAGGUAGUCUAACCGCAAGGAGGACGCUUACCACGGUGUGGCCGAUGACUGGGGUGAAGUCGUAACAAGGUAAGCGUAGAUGA
rnacentral:rRNA from 1 species